rnacentral:lncRNA from 1 species
CUGGGGUGGCGUACGUGGUGUCACUGCAUAGGGCCCCCAAUUCUUAAGGGCCCCCGAAAAAAAAAAUUCUUUAUAUUAUAUAUAUUAAUAUUAUAGGAAUUGUAUAUAUAGUAUAGCGUGCUAGACAUUUGCACAAGGGCGUGUCUGGAGGAGUAUAUAUAUAUCCCCCAAAUACUUUUUACUCCAAUCAUUCUUUAAUAAAAAAAUUAAAAAAGUUUUCUCCUCUAAGAAAAGUACUUUUUUCAUUCAAAAUAAAAAACAAAAAAAAACUUCAUGGCUUCUUAUUUCUUUUAAACUCU